CUCUGAACAAAGUCCAAACGUUGUUAAAAAUAUUAGUGCCCAGAGAAAUGCAUGUAUCCGAGCUGAAACCGGUAGAACACAACUCCCAAACAUUCCAGAAGACGCAGAACUGAACUUGACAGAGGAAAAAUACUCAAAUCCAGGUGAUGCACUAUCUGCUGGGUGGCCCCCAGGUUGGUGACCCCAUGGAGAAGCACUUACUCACUGCUGCAACCAAGUGGUCGUGCACUCCAUUGAAGGGGAAAACAAAUAGCCAGGGCUCUAAACCUGAACAAACAGUGUCAGCUGGGACCUGAGCCCUAGGACCAUGCCCCAGGACUACCUGACAUGAUGACUCCUUGCUGUCCCCAGUCCACCUGGCCAUGCUGCUGCUCCAGUUUCAACUGACCUGAGCCCUAGGACCAUUCCCCAGGACUACCUGACAUGAUGGCUCCUUGCUGUCCCCAGUCCACCUGGCCAUGCUGCUGCUCCAGUUUCAACUGUUCUGCCUUACUAUUAUUCGACCAUGCUGGUCAUUUAUGAACAUUUGAACAUCUUGGCCAUGUUCUGUUAUCAUUUCCACCCGGCACAGCCAGAAGAAGACUGGCCACCCCACAUAUGCUCUCUCUAAUUCUCUCUUUCUUUCUCUCUCUCGGAGGACCUGAGCCCUAGGACCAUGCCCCAGGACUACCUGACAUGAUGACUCCUUGCUGUCCCCAGUCCACCUGGCCAUGCUGCUGCUCCAGUUUCAACUGUUCUGCCUUACUAUUAUUCGACCAUGCUGGUCAUUUAUGAACAUUUUAACAUCUUGGCCAUGUUCUGUUAUCAUUUCCACCCGGCACAGCCAGAAGAGGACUGGCCACCCCACAUAGCCUGGUUCCUCUCUAGGUUUCUUCCUAGGUUUUGGCCUUUCUAGGGAGUUUUUCCUAGCCACCGUGCUUCUACACCUGCAUUGCUUGCUGUUUGGGGUUUUAGGCUGGGUUUCUGUACAGCACUUUGAGAUAUCAGCUGAUGUACGAAGGGCUAUAUAAAUACAUUUGAUUUGAAUUUGA